rnacentral:rRNA from 1 species
AGCGAGCGCUGGCGGCAUGCCUAACACAUGCAAGUCGAACGAGACCUUCGGGUCUAGUGGCGCACGGGUGCGUAACGCGGGGGAACCUGCCCUUAGGUUCGGAAUAAUUCCCCGAAAGGGGUGCUAAUACCGGAUAAUUUCUGCGGACCAAAGAUUGAUCGCCCUGGGAUGGGCCCGAGUUGUUUUAGCUAGUUGGUAGGGUAAAAGCCUGCCAAGGCUACGAUCCAUAGCUGGUCUGAGAGGAUGAUCAGCAACACUGGGACGGGGACACGGCCCAGACUCCUGCGGAAGGCAGCAGUGCGGAAUCUUGGACACUGGGCGAAUGCAUGAUCCCGCCCUGCCGCGUAAGUGAUGAAGGCCUUAGGGUUGUAAACCUCUUUUACCCGGGAUGAUAAUGCCAGAACCGAAAGAAUAAGCCCCGCCUACUUCCGU